AGGGUUUGAUUAUGGCUCAGGACGAACGCUGGCGGCGCGCCUAACACAUGCAAGUCGAACGAGCGAGAGAGAGCUUGCUUUCUCGAGCGAGUGGCGAACGGGUGAGUAACGCGUGAGGAAUCUGCCUCAAAGAGGGGGACAACAGUUGGAAACGACUGCUAAUACCGCAUAAGCCCACGGCUCGGCAUCGAGCAGAGGGAAAAGGAGCAAUCCGCUUUGAGAUGGCCUCGCGUCCGAUUAGCUAGUUGGUGAGGUAAUGGCCCACCAAGGCGACGAUCGGUAGCCGGACUGAGAGGUUGAACGGCCACAUUGGGACUGAGACACGGCCCAG
rnacentral:rRNA from 1 species